GACAGGUGCUGCAUGGCUGUCGUCAGCUCGUGUUGUGAAAUGUUGGGUUAAGUCUCGCAACGAGCGCAACCCCUAUCUUUAGUUGCCAGCAUUAAGUUGGGCACUCUAGAGAGACUGCCCGGGUUAACCGGGAGGAAGGUGGGGAUGACGUCAAGUCCUCAUGGCCCUUAUGCCUAGGGCUACACACGUAAUACAAUGGUUGAUACAAAGGGAAGCGAUCGCGCGAGCGUUAGCAAAUCUCAAAAAGUCAAUCUCAGUCCGGAUUGGAGUCUGCAACUCGACUCCAUGAAGUUGGAAUCGCUAGUA
rnacentral:rRNA from 1 species